rnacentral:rRNA from 1 species
UAGUCUGGUGCCAGCAGCCGCGGUAAUUCCAGCUCCAAUAGCGUAUAUUAAAGUUGUUGCAGUUAAAACGCUCGUAGUCGGAUUUCGGGACAGGUUUGCCGNUCUGCCGAUGGGUAUGCACUGGUAGAACUGUCCUUCCUUCCGGAGACGGCGCCUACUCUUAACUGAGCGGGUGUCGGAGACGGAUCGUUUACUUUGAAAAAAUCAGAGUGUUUCAAGCAGGCAGCUCGCUUUUGCAUGGAUUAGCAUGGGAUAAUGAAAUAGGACUUUGGUGCUAUUUUGUUGGUUUCGAACACCGAAGUAAUGAUUAACAGGGACAGUCAGGGGCACUCGUAUUCCGCCGAGAGAGGUGAAAUUCUUAGACCAGCGGAAGACGAACCACUGCGAAAGCAUUUGCCAGGGAUGUUUUCACUGAUCAAGAACGAAAGUUAGGGGAUCGAAGACGAUCAGAUACCGUCGUAGUCUUAACCAUAAACCAUGCCGACUAGGGAUUGGAGGAUGUUCCUAUGUGACUCCUUCAGCACCUUUCGGGAAACUAAAGUCUUUGGGUUCCGGGGGGAGUAUGGUCGCAAGGCUGAAACUUAAAGGAAUUGACGGAAGGGCACCACCAGGAGUGGAGCCUGCGGCUUAAUUUGACUCAACACGGGGAAACUUACCAGGUCCAGACAUUGUGAGGAUUGACAGAUUGAGAGCUCUUUCUUGAUUCGAUGGGUGGUGGUGCAUGGCCGUUCUU